rnacentral:rRNA from 1 species
GAAUAUUGGGCAAUGGACGCAAGUCUGACCCAGCCAUGCCGCGUGCAGGAAGACGGCCUUCUGGGUUGUAAACUGCUUUUAUCUGGGAAGAAAACACCCAUGCGUGGGAAACUGACGGUACCAGAUGAAUAAGCACCGGCUAACUACGUGCCAGCAGCCGCGGUAAUACGUAGGGGUCGAGCGUUGUCCGGAGUUACUGGGCGUAAAGCGCGUGCAGGUGGCUCAUUACGCCCGGCGUGAAAGCCCCCGGCUCAACCGGGGAGGGUCGUCGGGGACGGAUGGGCUUGAGGGUCGCAGGGGCUGGUGGAAUUCCCGGUGUAGUGGUGAAAUGCGUAGAGAUCGGGAGGAACACCCGUGGCGAAGGCGGCCAGCUGGGCGACACCUGACACUGAGACGCGAAGGUGUGGGGAGCGAACGG